rnacentral:rRNA from 1 species
GUGAGGAAUAUUGGACAAUGGGCGCAAGCCUGAUCCAGCCAUGCCGCGUGCAGGAAGACGCAUCUAUGGUGUGUAAACUGCUUUUGUACGGGAAGAAACACUCCCUCGUGAGGGAGCUUGACGGUACCGUAAGAAUAAGGAUCGGCUAACUCCGUGCCAGCAGCCGCGGUAAUACGGAGGAUCCAAGCGUUAUCCGGAAUCAUUGGGUUUAAAGGGUCCGUAGGCGGUUUAAUAAGUCAGUGGUGAAAGCCCAUCGCUCAACGAUGGAACGGCCAUUGAUACUGUUAGACUUGAAUUACAAGGAAGUAACUAGAAUAUGUAGUGUAGCGGUGAAAUGCUUAGAUAUUACAUGGAAUACCAAUUGCGAAGGCAGGUUACUACUUGUGGAUUGACGCUGAUGGACGAAAGCGUGGGGAGCGAACAGGAUUAGAACCCUUGUAGUCC